rnacentral:lncRNA from 1 species
UUGGAAAACUCAUGUUAUUUCUUCUGCUUUCCAUUCUUUCUGGUUCUUUCAUUCUUCUCCAUUUUUGAUUGUUUGGUCAUUUCUUAUUACAAUCUUUUAAUUUAUGUAUUACAAAUACAUUUUUUCCUUAACAAAAUUUUAUGAGGAAAGUUUCAUUUUGUGUUUAUAAACCAUAUAUACAUAUAUACGUAGCAAGUUUUUCUAAUCUCAAUGAGAAAAGAAAACAGUUUAAAAAAAAGUAAAAAAAAAAUAUUUUCUACAAAUACAUUCUGCUGAAAUCUGCCACAUAUUGUCCCUAACUUUUUAUGUGUACACUAAGAGCUGAUUUAGGAAAGGCGACAUCAACAAUUUUGUUUGAAAUCAUUGUUUUGUAUUUGAUGUUGUCAGAUGCUCAAACGUAACUUACUCAAGGAAUGACUUACCUAUUACAUUAGGGGCUUUUGACUUUGGCCAAUGGGUUUUCCAUGAUUCCCAAACUCUUGAGAAAUAUGGGUGGCUUUGCAAUGCUUCUCUUCUGGUCUUGACUUCUGCCAAGAUAACUUGAAGGUACGCAUUCUUCCCAACUCCUAUUGAUAUGCUUCCAAUUCUUUUCUGGAAAAAUAAACUAUAAUUCAGGACUUAAAAUCAAUUUAUUUUCAUGUGUUGCCAAAAUAUCUUACAGAUAUUUCAUAACAAUAACAUUUUCAUUGUAAGUAUAGGCAAAUGCACAUUUCCAUAUUGUCCAAGGACAUAAAUAUUUUGUUAGGAUCUGGCAGAUUGAGCAUAGUUAUGAUAAAUAACCACUACUCUUUCAUUGUAUGGUUUUAAUAGCUUCUUUUUUUUUAAUUGUCAAAUUUUUACCUGUGUCCAUUGCAUUAAUAUUUCAACACUUGUAAAUUUAGUGUUUCAAGAACCUAAGCUAUUUUUUCUCUUGAGUAUUUAUAUCCACAGUUUUCUAUCACAUCAAAAACUAUUUUAAACCUUACCAAUGUUCUCACUUUGUUUACAGUUUGUAAAGCUGUCCCAAAGACAGAUUUUGAACACAACUUUUUCAGUAUCUCAUUGAGAUGACAUUUUUUAUUGUGAUUUGUUCUAAACACUUUAAAAUGUCUGUAUAUACACAUGUAGAUGUACAUGUGUGUGGAGUAUAAACAUGGAGACAGGUAGGCAAUCCAUGUUGUCUUCUAUUAAUGUGUAUGGCUCAUAUUAUCAAUAUUUUUAUAAACAAAACUUGUUUAUAUUUUGUGUAAAGAGUACAAUAAAAGUUUUAGCUAUGUCUUGCCUCUACACCAUUAAGCAGCACAUGUUUGGGUUAGUACUGAUAUAAACUGUAUCAGAGCUGAUAUAUACACUCAAAUUCAUUGGCUUGCAGAAUCUCUACCUUGAUGAGUAUUUUCAUCAUCAGAAGUACCAGAAGUUGCCAGGACUGGAGAGUACAAAAUGAAAACAUUUUCUGGGAGAUUUAAUCUGCAAAAGUGUCCAGAUAAUUGAACAAUGAAAACAUCUCUCUUUUGUGCACAAAUAAUUGGUUAAAUAGUUUACCAUAUGCAUAGAUAUAUUGUUAUAUCAGCUUAAUAAUGCAGUAUCCUAAUACCUUAGUAGAAAUUGUAUAUUCCUAGUAUUUAGCAUAAAAUUUGACAGUUCAUUCUCUUUAAUUUUUAAAUAUUAUUCAUUCUAAAUUUGUGUGUAUGUUUGUGCACAUGUGUGAAUUUGUGCAUGCAUCUGCAUGUGUGUGUGUGUGCAUGUGUGUUUCAACAAUUACAUUGUAUCUUCCUAGUUAACAAGUUUUCACAAAUUAAAAAUUUCUGUAACUAAGUGCCUUGAAUAAGAAAGACAAUCUUUGCUUCAUUAAUAAAUCAAAGCUAAUCCAAACAGAAAUGCCUUCAGCCAGUAUCUCUACUCCUCCCCCACGUAUACUCCCUAUCUGUUGUAUAGAUGACUAUGUUUUACAGAUGAUGUAACACAUAUGUGCCUUGUUCCAGUUUUCAAAAGUCACAUGGAAAUUGUUAAAAUAUAAUUUAAUGUUCUCUAUAUUCUUCAAAUCCUAAAGAGACAAUACUAAACAUAAUUUACCCCGU